rnacentral:rRNA from 1 species
ACGAACGCUGGCGGCGUGCUUCACACAUGCAAGUCGAACGGAAAGGCCCUGCUUUUGUGGGGUGCUCGAGUGGCGAACGGGUGAGUAACACGUGAGUAACCUGCCCUUGACUUUGGGAUAACUUCAGGAAACUGGGGCUAAUACCGGAUAGGAGCUCCUGCUGCAUGGCGGGGGUUGGAAAGUUUCGGCGGCCGGGGAUGGACGCGCGGCUUCUCAGCUCGUUGGUGGGGUAGUGGCUUACCACGGCUUUGACGGGUAGCCGGCCUGCGAGGGUGACCGGCCACAUUGGGACUGAGAUACGGCCCAGACUCCUACGGGAGGCAGCAGGGGGGAAUAGUGCAGAAUGGGCGGAAGCCUGAUGCAGCAACGCCGCGUGCGGGAUGACGGCCUUCGGGGUGUAAACCGCUUUCGCCGGUGACGAAGCGUGAGUGACGGUAAUGGGUAAAGAAGCACCGGCUAACUACGUG